rnacentral:tRNA from 2 species
ACGGGACACGAACCCGCACCAAAAGGCCCAAAACCCUUUGUACUACCAUUAUACUACCUCCUAGUAAAGUCAGC